GACGAACCGUGCGAACGUUGUUCGGAAUCACUGGGCUUAAAGGGCGCGUAGGCGGAUUGCCAAGUCCGGGGUGAAAUCUUUCGGCCCAACCGGAAAAUGGCCUUGGAUACUGGCAAUCUUGAGGGAGGUAGGGGCAGCUGGAACUUCCGGUGGAGCGGUGAAAUGCGUUGAUAUCGGAAGGAACGCCGGUGGCGAAAGCGAGCUGCUGGACCUUUUCUAACGCUGAGGCGCGAAAGCCAGGGGAGCAAACGGG
rnacentral:rRNA from 1 species